GAUGAACGCUGACAGAAUGCUUAACACAUGCAAGUCAACUUGAACUUCGGUUUGGGUGGCGGACGGGUGAGUAACGCGUAAAGAACUUGCCUCACAGUUAGGGACAACAUUUGGAAACGAAUGCUAAUACCUGAUAUUAUGAUUUUAGGGCAUCCUAGAAUUAUGAAAGCUAUAUGCGCUGUGAGAGAGCUUUGCGUCCCAUUAGCUAGUUGGAGAGGUAACGGCUCACCAAGGCGAUGAUGGGUAGCCGGCCUGAGAGGGUGAACGGCCACAAGGGGACUGAGACACGGCCCUUACUCCUACAGGAGGCAGCAGUGGGGAAUAUUGGACAAUGGACCAAGAGUCUGAUCCAGCAAUUCUGUGUGCACGAUGAAGUUUUUCGGAAUGUAAAGUGCUUUCAGUUGGGAAGAAAAAAAUGACGGUACCAACAGAAGAAGUGACGGCUAAAUACGU
rnacentral:rRNA from 1 species